rnacentral:tRNA from 1 species
GGAUGUACCUCAGUUGGUAGAGUGCCUGCCUCACAUGCACAAGGCCCUGGGUUUGAUCCCCAGCACCA